CUGUGGGAAUGGCCUUUUAAUUUGAAAUGUUUGUCAUAGAUUAUAGACUUUUUAAACAAACUUGCACAUGAAACACUUGACUUAGAUCUUUUUUUUUCCCCUCUGUUUGGUGUGGACCUAGCUAAGGAAUUAAACUUCAACCACUUGGAAGCAAAGCUGGUGUAUCUACAAAUUAUUCAAUGAAAAGAGGAAAAAAAUUGCAAUGAAUAAUAAUCAGCCAUCUGCAGAGCUGGCUGACUAAUAAAAAUGUGUUUCCAAAUAGUAAACAGGCCAAAAUUAAUAACAAAUGCUAUUUGCAAUGAAUUAUUCUAUUAGAUCUUCUCCCAACUUUUUGGGACAUUUUUCCUCUCUAAGCAAAGAAACUUAUCUCGAAUGUAUGGAUUUCCAAAGCCAUACCCACCCCAGCUGCACGGCAGCCAGAUCACUUCAUCUGAAGUUCGUGAGCCCAAUUCCAACCGCUGUGUCUGGAGCCCUCACCAUACCGCAGUGUUUCAGAGGAAACAAGAAGGGAGAUGUGUGGGAGCGCCGUGUCUGCCACGAGGCUGGGGCUGUGGCGCAGGACUCAUGGUGCCUGCUGCUUUUCUCCUGCAUUGUCCUGGAAAUAUGGGUGAGAAUCUCAGCUUUCCUUUAAAAAAUCACCAGUUGCCUAGGGAAAAGAGGACCAGAGUCUAUUUAAAAGUUUUAGUGUCUAGAAAGCAAUAAGCCAAAUAUAUCUGUAUUUAAAAGAGCCGCAAGGUAUUUAAGGCAAUCUUGCGAUUUGUUUCAGAGCCUGACUCAUCGCUCCUGCGUGCUGGGGCCGAAGGCACCGGGGGCUCCAGCAGCCACUCUCCGACAAGGAGGAUGCCUUACCUGCUGGGAAGGGCAAGCUGAAGAAAUCAAGAAGUUUCCUGCCCUGUACCCCACGUCAUUGCAGACUCUGCUAGCACAGCUGCAAACAAGAGGCUACAUAGAGGUUUAUUUGCAGACCAGUUUUGUGCCUAGUUUGGGAUGAGUUUCUCUUGGUACCAAGGCCCUUUGCUGAAUGAUGUUUGGUAAAGGUAGAAAAACUGAGCAGCUGAUGUCUUCAUAUCCGCUUCUGAGAAUUUCCACCCUGAUCUGUUUGGCCCUCCUGCCACGAUAACCCCCUGGGGCAUAACGUGGGGUUUUUUUAGAAGCUUGGAGCAAAAGGUGCUUUUCAUUUUACUCAGCCUCUUACACAACUUACUUCACAUUUUUACAGCGGCCUCUUUCCUUCUCCCUUAAAUUUCUCACCCCUUGACCUUUCCACCCAUUUUAACACUGUUCACCCCAUCCCAUGCAUGCGUGGCUCCCUGGUGCCUGUGGUCCCCGUGCCGGUGGCCGCAUGGCAGAGGCGAGCCCCGGUCCCAGCGGGCGGCAGGGCUGCUGCUCGUUCUGGCACAGGGAUGGUCCUGGCAGCUUCUCCCCUCCAGUCCUGUUUGCACUCGUUCCUUCCGCUGCUUGGCUGUACUUUUCUUCUUUUAUCUCUUUAUUAUUGUAUUGCUCCCCGCCUCGAGGGACGCCCUGCUGCAUGAGUUGUUUCUGGUGCCACCCCUGAGUGUGAACAGGGCUCUUCUCCCAGCUGCUGCCAAAAUCUCCCUCCACCACCAGCAGCAGCCCGUUCACGAGGCUUCCUUCCUGUAGCUUGCCCAGUUUGGGAUGCCGUUCCCCUGGGGUCCCCUUGCGGAACAGUGAGUAGGCAGACCUGCCUGCCGGGAGAGCCUCUGCCUGCGAGUCCUCAGCCCUGCCUGGUCCUCUGCCCCUGGGCAAGCAGGAGCUGGAGACCUGGCUCUCAGCCCUGGGUAUUUCCAGGUGCUCCCGUACGACCAGCAGGGCUCAGGAAAAGGCUUCAAGCCCGGAUGCCUCCUGAAUGCACAGCCCACGCCAGCCCCCCCGGCAUGGCUGUAUUUUUUCCCCUUUCCCACUGACCCAUAGCGUAGAUGGGAUCAGGGGUUAAACUGGGAGUGUGGUGGAAAAGGGACUGGGGAGCCCGAGGCGAGCGCAGCUUAAGGAGUGAUUAUAAGGUCUGGAGGCAAAGGGAGCCGCUGCCUGUCAGGGAGCUGCUCCCGAAGAAAACAUCCCAUUGUAGCGGGGAGUGGACUUUGGGACAGGGCAGAGCAAAGCAGAUUGAUAACCAAGGGGCAACAUGACCCCGCAUGGGCUCCCACAACAAAAGCCCCUUCAUCUACAAUGAAUGGGAACAAUAGCUAAUGGGGACAGGCCCGCAGCAGCCUGCGGGUCCGCGAUCCCAAAGGAGAGGGAGGAGGUGAGGGAGGGUCCUGUCGUACCCAAAUCCUCUGUUGAUCUCAGUAACCUCCUGCGCUUUCCUUGAAUCACAUGGGAAGUUCAAGGACUUCUUGCCUUCAGAUUGCAGGGACGCAUAUUGUCCCCGAUAACCGGUGGGACCUGCAGCCCCGGUGCCAAGGAUGAGCUGCUGCUGUCCCAAGGAAGCCCUGGGCAGUCCCCAGCCCAGGUGGCAGCGGUGGCAGGAAGGAUGUUGGUCCUCAUCAGGGUGCUUUCUGGUUCCUGCGCAGGUUCUGGUCCCACCAAGCCUUUUGGGGCAGAAUACGUGUGAGCAGAGCCUGGCACAGUGGGAUGCCAGCCAGAUGCUCCCCUAGCCUUAAAGAAAGGAUUUGUGGUCCUUCACCUGUGGGCUCCUUUGGGCAUAAUAAAGGGCAGCGUCUGAGCCGUGUGGUGGGGACA
rnacentral:lncRNA from 1 species